rnacentral:lncRNA from 1 species
UGUCGACCUGGCAGGGAGCCCAACGUAGAUCACACCGUGUGUAAUGACUGUCCACCGGGCUUUUAUUCCACUGUAUGCACUAUCCAGUGCCUGCAGUGUCCAGCAGGAAGCUAUUGUCCAGAUAGCGGGAUGUCACAGCCGCUCCCCUGUCCUCCUAGUUGGACUUCCACACCUGGGCAGACUUACUGCCGUAGCUGUAAUGACACAUCUUUGCUGUGUGGGGGAGCUGUGACCCCCCGCUGGAGCCAGCCAGUCCACAGGUCCAGUCAAACAAUCAGCUGUCGACCAGGAACAUACAAAGACAUGAGGGAAGAGGUAGCAUGUGUGGUCUGUCCAAUAGGUUAGUGGUUAUCACUGCAUACUCACAUUCAUAUUUCAGUUUCCUCCCCUCCUGGAAGAAUAUAUAUUAUAAUAUAUGUGUGUACAUGUUUCUCUUCAUUUCAGGUCAUUACUGUGUGGGAGGUGUAGCUCUACCCUGUCCUGCAGGGACUUACGGCCCCAAUGAAGGUCUGCAGAGACUGAGAGACUGCACAAUAUGUCCUGCAGGGUUUUACUGUCUGGAAGGCAGCUCACGGAGACCCACCUCCCGUUUCCUCUGCACACAGGGCUAUUACUGUGAGGAGGGCACUGUCGCCCCUCACGGGUCACCUUGCCCUGCUGGUACAGCGGGAGAACAACUGGGUCAGACAAGUAGGGCAGCCUGCAAGAGAUGCAGAGAAGGACGCUUCUGUCCUGCAGGAAAGUCUUAGCACUAAUACACCGACUUCAAUGGAGCAACAAAUACUGAAAUAUAAAACAUAAGUUUCACAUUGCCACUCGAAGAAAGAACCUAAAAGGGAGAUUGUGUGUGUGUGUGUGUGUGUGUGUAUGUAUGUGUGUGUGUGUGUGUGUGUGUGUGUGUGUGUGUGUGUGUGUGUGUGUGUGUGUGUGUGUGUGUGUGUGUGUGUGUGUGUAUCACAGGCUCAUCUGGUCCUGGCUUACCCUGUGCUCGGGGGAGAUACUGUCCUGCUGGCACCUUGGAAGAAGUGAUUUGUCCUCGAGGCACCUUCACCCCUCAUCAAGGAGCAAUAAGUACAUUUAUAUGCUGUUUUAUACUCACCUCUUAUUAAAUAACAUUUUAUAAUCACAGUUAUUGAUUAGUUCCCCUUGGGUAUCAGGCUCUGGC